rnacentral:rRNA from 1 species
UUGAACGCUGGCGGCAUGCUUUACACAUGCAAGUCGAACGGCAGCGCGGGCUUCGGCCUGGCGGCGAGUGGCGAACGGGUGAGUAAUGCAUCGGAACGUGCCCAGUAGUGGGGGAUAGCCCGGCGAAAGCCGGAUUAAUACCGCAUACGACCUGAGGGUGAAAGCGGGGGACCGAAAGGCCUCGCGCUAUUGGAGCGGCCGAUGUCGGAUUAGCCAGUUGGUGGGGUAAAGGCUUACCAAGGCGACGAUCCGUAGCUGGUCUGAGAGGACGACCAGCCACACUGGGACUGAGACACGGCCCAGACUCCUACGGGAGGCAGCAGUGGGGAAUUUUGGACAAUGGGGGCAACCCUGAUCCAGCCAUGCCGCGUGCGGGAAGAAGGCCUUCGGGUUGUAAACCGCUUUUGUUCGGGAAGAAAUCCUCUGGGCUAAUACCCCGGGGGGAUGACGGUACCGGAAGAAUAAGCACCGGCUAACUACGUG